UCCCUGGGGGCUCAGACAGUAAAGAACCUGCCUGCAAGGCAGGACACCCAGGUUCAAACCCUGGGUGGGGAA
rnacentral:tRNA from 1 species